GACAGAGGCCUCAAGCGUUAGGCGGAAUCACUGGGCUUAAAGCGUGUGUAGGCGGAUCGUUAAGUGCCUUGUGAAAUCCCACGGCUUAACUGUGGAACGGCUGGGCAUACUGGCGGUCUUGAGCCAUCUAGGGGCGACUGGAACAAACGGUGGAGCGGUGAAAUGCGUAGAUAACGGGAGGAACACCUGUGGCGAAAGCGGCGCACUGGACCAUAACUGACGCUGAUGCGCGAAAGCUAGGGGAGCAAACAGG
rnacentral:rRNA from 1 species